rnacentral:rRNA from 1 species
CGUACACUCCUGCGGGAGGCAGCAGUGGGGAAUAUUGGACAAUGGGCGCAAGCCUGAUCCAGCCAUGCCGCGUGAGUGAUGAAGGCCCUAGGGUUGUAAAGCUCUUUCACCGGUGAAGAUAAUGACGGUAACCGGAGAAGAAGCCCCGGCUAACUUCGUGCCAGCAGCCGCGGUAAUACGAAGGGGGCUAGCGUUGUUCGGAUUUACUGGGCGUAAAGCGCACGUAGGCGGACUAUUAAGUCAGGGGUGAAAUCCCGGGGCUCAACCCCGGAACUGCCUUUGAUACUGGUAGUCUUGAGUUCGAGAGAGGUGAGUGGAAUUCCGAGUGUAGAGGUGAAAUUCGUAGAUAUUCGGAGGAAAACCAGUGGCGAAGGCGGCUCACUGGCUCGAUACUGACGCUGAGGUGCGAAAGCGUGGGGAGCAAACAGGAUUAGAAACCCGAGUAGUCCCAU